CCUACGGGAGGCAGCAGUGGGGAAUUUUGGACAAUGGGCGCAAGCCUGAUCCAGCCAUGCCGCGUGAGUGAAGAAGGCCUUCGGGUUGUAAAGCUCUUUCAGCCGGAAAGAAAACGCACGGGUUAAUACUUUGUGUGGAUGACGGUACCGGAAGAAGAAGCACCGGCUAACUACGUGCCACAGCCGCGGUAAU
rnacentral:rRNA from 1 species